AUUGAACGCUGGCGGCAGGCUUAACACAUGCAAGUCGAGCGGAGAUGAGGUGCUUGCACCUUAUCUUAGCGGCGGACGGGUGAGUAAUGCUUAGGAAUCUGCCUAUUAGUGGGGGACAACAUUCCGAAAGGAAUGCUAAUACCGCAUACGUCCUACGGGAGAAAGCAGGGGACCUUCGGGCCUUGCGCUAAUAGAUGAGCCUAAGUCGGAUUAGCUAGUUGGUGGGGUAAAGGCCUACCAAGGCGACGAUCUGUAGCGGGUCUGAGAGGAUGAUGCGCCACACUUGGACUGAAACACGGCCCAGACUCCUACGGGAGGCAGCAGUGGGGAAUAUUGGACAAUGGGCGGAAGCCUGAUCCAGCCAUGCCGCGUGUGUGAAGAAGGCCUUUUGGUUGUAAAGCACUUUAAGCGAGGAGGAGGCUACUUAGAUUAAUACUCUAGGAUAGUGGACGUUACUCGCAGAAUAAGCACCGGCUAACUCUGUGCCAGCAGCCGCCGUAACAC
rnacentral:rRNA from 1 species